rnacentral:rRNA from 1 species
CCUACGGGAGGCAGCAGUGAGGAAUAUUGGUCAAUGGACGCGAGCCUGAACCAGCCAAGUAGCGUGAAGGAUGACGGCCCUACGGGUUGUAAACUUCUUUUAUAAAGGAAUAAAGUGAGACACGUGUGCCUUUUUGUAUGUACUUUAUGUAUAAGGAUCGGCUAACUCCGUGCCAGCAGCCGCGGUAAUACGGAGGAUCCGAGCGUUAUCCGGAUUUAUUGGGUUUAAAGGGUGCGUAGAUGGGUUGUUAAGUCAGUUGUGAAAGUUUGCGGCUCAACCGUAAAAUUGCAAUUGAUACUGGCAGUCUUGAGUAUAGUUGAGGUAGGCGGAAUUCGUGGUGUAGCGGUGAAAUGCUUAGAGAUCACGCAGAACUCCGAUUGCGAAGGCAGCUUACUAAACUGCGACUGACAUUGAGGCACGAAAGUGUGGGUAGCAAACAGGAUUAGAUACCCUUGUAGUC